GACGAACGCUGGCGGCGUGCUUAACACAUGCAAGUCGAACGGAAAGGCCCUGCUUUUGUGGGUUGCUCGAGUGGCGAACGGGUGAGUAACACGUGAGUAACCUGCCCUUGACUUUGGGAUAACUUCAGGAAACUGGGGCUAAUACCGGAUAGGAUCUCCUGCUGCAUGUUGGGGGUUGGAAAGUUUCGGCGGUUGUGGAUGGACUCGCGGCUUAUCCGCUUGUUGGUGGGGUAGUGGCUUACCAAGGCUUUGACGGGUAGCCGGCCUGAGAGGGUGAACGGCCACAUUGGGACUGAGAUACGGCCCAGACUCCUACGGGAGGCAGCAGUGGGGAAUAUGGCACAAUGGGGGGAAGCGUGAUGCAGCAACGCCGCGUGCGGGAUGACGGCCUUCGGGUUGUAAACCGCUUUCGCCUGUGACGAAGAGAGAGUGACGGUAAUGGGUAAAGAAGCACCGGCUAACUACGUG
rnacentral:rRNA from 1 species